UGGUCAAGUUAUUAAGGGUGCAGGGCGGAUGCCUUGGCACUAGGAGCCGAUGAAGGACGUGAUAAGCUGCGAUAAGCUUCGGGGAGUUGCACGUAAACUUUGAUCCGAAGAUUUCCGAAUGAGGAAACUCACUUAGAGUAAUGUCUAAGUAUCAUUAAGUGAAUACAUAGCUUAAUGAGGGGAACUCAGGGAACUGAAACAUCUAAGUACCUGAAGGAAGAGAAAGAAAUUCGAUUCCGUAAGUAGCGGCGAGCGAACGCGGAUUAGCCCAAACCAAUAAAGUUUUCUUUAUUGGGGUUGAGGACAUAUCAUAACGAAGAGGUAUCGUAAUUGAAGAGGUUUGGAAAGACCCACCACAGAAGGUAAUAGUCCUGUAUGUUAAACGAGAAGACUUUAGAUAUGAUCCAGAGUACCACGGGACACGUGAAACCC
rnacentral:rRNA from 1 species